GGGGGGUUGGGGGGGGAUGGUGCAGAAAUUCAAUGUUGUCAUUCAUUGUUAUAGGUUUUUCUGACCGUAGGAUCUUGUAUAUUAUGUUAUCAAUCAUCAUCAUUGACCCUGCAUCAUAUAUGGGGCUAGGACAGUUGCAUUAUAGGAGAGCUAGGACUGUCCCUCAGCCACUUAAUAUGCUUCAUCUGCAACACCAUAGGUCUUGCAAAGUCUAGUACAAAUCUUACCUAUUGAUUGAAAAAGACAAAAAUAAUGGCAAGAAUUAUUAAUUAGCAUUACAAAAGGAAAUAGUUAUUUCCACUUCAACAUUAGCUUCUCG
rnacentral:lncRNA from 1 species